AUUGUGUUUCAAUAGAUUAUCGUUUUAACUUUUAGGUGGGGCGAAUAUAAUCCUUUGGCUAGGAAGAAGCCGCUGUCUGAAUUUCUCUAUGAUUUCCUGGACGAGGUGAGGUGAACACACUCCUUUGGUUAGGCUUAAAAAGGGAGAAGCUGUUGUCUGAAUUUCUCAGCGAUUUCCUGGGUAGGAUAGACAUACUCUGGUGGAUACAUCAUUUGCGAUCUUUUGUUGGGGUAAAUCCAUUUGUGUAGAUCAAGAUCAGGUGCAUAUCUUUGGUGAGGAUACCAAUGACAAUAAAUAAAGACGAGUCUGGAUUUUUAACACAAA